UUCCGGUUGAUCCUGCCGGAUCACACUGCUACCGGGAUAGGACUAAGACAUGCUAGUUAAGCGCUUUCUAGCUAAUAUGAGAGUGCGGCAUACAGCUCAGUAUCACGUGGCUAACCUGCCCUUGGGACGGAAACACCCCCGGGAAACUGGGGUUAAUUUCCGAUAGGUGAAGAAUUCUGGAAUGAAUUUUCGCUCAAAAGACGUUUAUGUUAUGCUCAUAGGCGUUGCCCAUGGAUGGGGCCGCGACCGAUCAGGUUGUUGGUGAGGUAAUGGCUCACCAAGCCUUUUACCGGUACGGGCCGUGAGAGCGGGAGCCCGGAGAUGGGCACUGAGACAAGGGCCCAGGCCCUACGGGGCGCAGCAGUCGCGAAAACUUUGCAAUACACGAAAGUGUGACAAGGCUAUCCCGAGUGCCAUCCGCUGAGGAAGGCUUUUACCCAGUAUAAAUAGCUGGGAGAAUAAGGAGAGGGCAAGUCUGGUGUCAGCCGCCGCGGUAAUACCAGCUCUCCGAGUAGUGUGGAUGUUUAUUGGGCCUAAAGCAUCCGUAGCUUGCUAAACAAGUCCCCUGUUAAAUCCACCGAUUCAAUCGAUGGACUGCGGGGGAUACUGUUUGGCUAGGGGACGGGAGAGGCCGACGGUAUUUCCGGGGUAGGGGUGAAAUCCUAUAAUCCCGGGAGGACCACCAGUGGCGAAGGCUGUUGGCUAGAACGCGCCCGACGGUGAGGGAUGAAAGCUGGGGGAGCGAACCGGAUUAGAUACCCGGGUAGUCCCAGCUGUAAACGAUGCAGUAGGGGGUGGUUUUGGGGCGGCCUACGAGCCGCCCUAGUGCCGCAGGGAAGCUGUCUAAGCCUGCCGCCUGGGGGAGUACGGCCGCAAGGCUGAAACUUAAAAGGAAUUGGCCGGGGGAGCAACACAAGGGGUGAUGCCUGCGGUUUAAUUGGAUUCAACGCCGGGG
rnacentral:rRNA from 1 species